UUUUAGUGUGUGUACUUGCGGGCUUAAUUGGAAAUCCAAUUUACCUUUCAUGGCUAUAAUGACUGAAGAGGCAGAACGCCAACUUAAAGUGACUGAACUUGGUGAAAGUGCAGAUGUAAAACUGACUGACAAGUCGGAAAAAAGUAGACAUUUUGUACCGCUGCAAAUGUACUUUGUCAUCUUGAUAGUAACAUGUUGGAAUAUAACCUAAUAACAUACCAAUAUCUAUAAAUACAAGGACAUUUUUUUAAAUGACUUUCAUCCAAUGGGAGACUAAGGUCUGCAAAAAAACAAAUACUGCUGCCGGAUUAAAGCAGGGUCACAGAAAGGCUCAAGACGCUUUUGGUUUGCGUGUUUACUGGGUCAGCUGAUGAGCCACAUGAACAGGAAUCAAAGUAAAAUGCAUGAGGACCCUACACAGGACACAGAAUGGUUUAAAAGAAUGCUAGCCAGAAA